GUUUUUCAAGAGUCCUUCCAUCUCUAAAUGGAUGAUAAUAUGAUCCUGUGAGGGCAGCUAGUUGGUGCAUUGGAUAGAAUGCUUUGCCUGGCAUCAGGAAAACUUUCAAGAUUUCAAGUCUGGCCUCACACAUUUCCUAGCUGUGUGACUCUGGGCAAGUCACUCGAUCCCCAUUGCCUAGCCCUUAUGCUCUUCUGCCUUGGAACCAAGACGUAGUAUUUAUUCCAAGAUGAAGGUAAGGGUUUAAAAAGAAAAAUACGGGGGGCAGCUGGGUGGCUCAGUGGAUUGAGAGCCAGGCCUAGAGACGGGAGGUCCUGGGUUCAAAACUGACCUCAGACACUUCUCAGCUGUGUGACCCUGGGCAAGUCACUUGACCCCCGUUGCCUAGCCCUGACCAUUCUUCUGCCUUGGAGGCAAUACAGAACGUAUAUUUAAAAAAGAAAAAGAAAAAAAAACAACUCUCCCUGCCUCCAAGAGCUCACAGCCUAAUGACUGGUACAGUAGGACGAGUAGUGGAUUUGUAGGUUCAAACCCCAGCCCUACUAUUUACUCCGGUGUGACCGAGAGCAAAGCGCGUCAUUCCGUUUCCUUAUCUGUAAAACGGAUGGGUUGGACUAGCUGACCUCUGGGGUCUCUCCCAGCUCUGAAUUUCUGCCCCCGGAACUGGUUCCUGAAACCUCAUCCCUGUCUGAGCUCUCCUCCGAACCGAGGCAGCCGCCCGUCUCAGCCCUGACCGUUCUCUCCCUCCUCUCCUUCCUCUAUGCCCGAGGAUGGCGCGCUGGGCUAGGAGGAGGCUGCCAGCCGCCUGGGGAGAGCCAAAGCGAGGCUGGGCGCUAGGGAGCGGCGUGCGCCCAGGGCAGCUUUCCGGGGAUCUCCGCCAGCCCGCUGCCCUUGGGGGAGAGGGGGAGGGGGAGGGGGAAGGGGAAGGGGAGGGGGGGGAAAGGACAGCAGAGGGAAGGGCAGCGCCUGCCAACGGGACCUAUCAGGAAACUCGUCACGAAAACCAGUCUCUUAGAGAAAGGAGUCCAUCGUAAAUCUGGGCACUUUCCCCACCCCUCCUUUCUGAAAAGGCAACACGGGAGUCAGUGCAGAGACCAGGACGGGGCUGGCCUAGCUUUGGGGCGCUGAUGGACUUACUGACUGCAUGUCCUUGGGUAAGUCACUUCCCCAACGGAGCCUGUUUCCUCUUUGGGGAAAAUGGAGAGAAUACCAUCUAGAGCUCACAGGGCAACAACAAAGAAGUCACUCUGCAAACUCUGAAGUGAUGCUCUCUCCCCAUCCACUCCUUUCUCCCCUCUCCUUUGCUCCCACCCCCAGAUGCACGGGCUUUCUAGGCACCGGAAACACACAGCCUGCUUAAGGCUUCAGGUCACUGGGAGAUUUUUCUGGGCUCUACCAGUUUCCAUAGCAACAACUCAGUUGUUUCUGAGAAGGAAUUGCUUUGAAUCUCUCCCUUUUCUCAAAGGAAUUCCACAAAGCAGCUCCUCCUUUGGGGCAAUAAGAUGCUGAUGGAGUGUGUGUGGGGGAUCAUGAGGAAGGACAGGAGGGAUGACUAUAAUGCCCAGAAGGAGGAGAGGGAAGAGCUGGCUGUGACACUAGCUGGGGCAACGUUGGCUUAGGGGUGAGGGGCUAUUGUCCCCAGGUCUGGUAGAGAAAGAGGCGGAUCCCUAUUGGCCCAGG
rnacentral:lncRNA from 1 species